UGAACCCCCUCAGUAUUUCAAGUACUUUUGGUUUAACAAAAAGAGAACAUAUCAAACGUCAUCGUUACGUCACAUCACCAUGGUAACAAUGGUGAAACCUAUUGCCUGGAUGUGCUUCAGUCUAGCGCUACUUCACUUGUCGUCUGCUCAAGAUCUAGCAGAAGUAAUCAGAACUGUAGCGGCCAUCGAAACAAAAUUUACAAACUUACUUAGAGGCCUAAACAGAAGUGUGUCCAGUUGUUGCCAGUGUUCUAGCAGCAGUGGCUGCAGUGCUGACACUGUCUACAGAAACGCUUGGAAACUAGCGUUCCGUGGUACAGCCGGAAUAAGGAAAUCGGUACUCUCGGCUUACAAAGAUGGCCAGGGAAUUCCUGCAAGUGUGGAAUACGGAUGCAA
rnacentral:sRNA from 1 species